GAAAUGCCUUUUACCUCCCACUGUGAUUCUGAGGCCCCCUCAGCCAUGUGGAAUUGGAAUACUUGGCAGGACAACAGGCAGACAAGGAGCAGCCUGGGCUACACCCUCCUCCAUCCAGCUUGGCAGGGAAGGUCUUGGUGCCUCAGUUGAAACUUCCAAUUUAACAUCCUGACACACACUACUCCCUCUUCCUGUGAUCAUCAGAACAAGAUAAAACCUUGUGUGUCUGGAUAGUUCUCAUCUGUUAAGAUUCAGGUACUGUAAAUGAAUGGGUUCAACAUGGGAGUGACUGCUGUGUAUAUCACUGAAGCAAUUAUGUUCUUGUCAUUGGUGUUGCUGGAUGGGGGAAGAAAAUAGAGACCAAUAAUUGUCCGAUAAUAGAUAGUCACCACUGAGAGGUGGGAUCCACAAGUGGACAAGGCUUUGCAUAUGCCCUUGGUAGAGGGAAUCUGGAGGAUGGUGACCCCAAUGUGACCAUAAGAAA
rnacentral:lncRNA from 10 species